GCAACUAUAGUAUAAAUUAAAUACGUUACAUUUUCAUUGUAAAAAUGAAUUAGAUUCUAGUAGCU
rnacentral:tRNA from 1 species